rnacentral:rRNA from 1 species
UACGUAGGGUGCGAGCGUUGUCCGGAAUUAUUGGGCGUAAAGAGCUCGUAGGCGGUCUGUCGCGUCGGAUGUGAAAACUCGGGGCUCAACCCCGAGCCUGCAUUCGAUACGGGCAGACUAGAGUUCGGUAGGGGAGACUGGAAUUCCUGGUGUAGCGGUGAAAUGCGCAGAUAUCAGGAGGAACACCGGUGGCGAAGGCGGGUCUCUGGGCCGUAACUGACGCUGAGGAGCGAAAGCGUGGGGAGCGAACAGG